rnacentral:rRNA from 1 species
UACGAAGGGUGCAAGCGUUACUCGGAAUUACUGGGCGUAAAGCGCACGUAGGCGGAUUCCUAAGUCGGUGGUGAAAUCCUGGAGCUCAACUCCAGAACUGCCUCCGAUACUGAGAGUCUUCGAGUCCGGGAGAGGUGAGUGGAACUGCGAGUGUAGAGGUGAAAUUCGUAGAUAUUCGCAAGAACACCAGUGGCGAAGGCGGCUCACUGGCCCGGUACUGACGCUGAGGUGCGAAAGCGUGGGAGCAAACAGG